GUUUCUUGGAAACAAUAAGUUCUAUGGCGCUCUCUCUGAAUCGAAAAGCUCAUCUCUUCUCAAUGUAGAUUUAUCAUACAAUAAUCUAGUUGGGAGCAUUCCUUCUUGGGUCAACGGAACGAGUUUACAGCUUAAUUUAGUUGCCAACAACUUCACCCUUGACAGUUCAAACAGCAGGAAGCUGUCAAGGGACAAUUAUGGAGAUUACGUGAUCCCCAGGGGAAGCCACCAGGUGUAAUGCAGUAGUACAGCUAGCUAGUUCGUAUAUUUAACUUGUGUCUAGUAGAAAUUCUUCCUUCAUUAAGUAUUUGGACUUGUCUGCAGAUUCAAAUUAGUAGAUAUGGGCCAUUUUGAACUGAUGCUCAUGAUUAGGUUUGUGUACAUGAGA